ACAAGAAGAAAUAGAUCAAUUAACACUUCAUAAUCCCUAUAUCAAAUACUUAUGAGUCUAUGCUCUAUGUGACUAAUUAUUGAAGUCAGGUGGGUACCUUGUCUGUAUUGACAUCAAACUUAUUCAACUCACCAAACAUUGCAACUCUGACAAGGGACCUCUUGCUACACAACAGACCGACAUCCCCUCUUUCUGAAAAGCAAAACAAGAUAUAUAAUUGGAACACAUAUCGACGUCGUAUUUCAAUCCACUUAACAAGAUGUCUCCAACCUAUACUCAUAAUUUGACUGACAUUUCGUGAACAAAUAAUACUACUUGCCAUUUGCCUAUCUGCAGGGUAAAUCACAAUGCCCUGUUUAAGUUUCAUAAAGCUGAGAUCAACUGUACACCUUGAGGUUGAAAAGUUGUGUGGGUGUAGUGUUAACUGUUAAGACAUUCUUUUUGCAGCUGUGCGGGCCUGGAAAACCUGCAUGUAUAUGAAUACUGGUAAAAGAAUUGCAGUAAAUAUAAAGAGAGCUCAUGUUCAAGUAUAGAAGCAAUCAAGAAAAAUUGCUCAACCAGAUUGUGGCACAAAAGUAACGAGCAUUCAAUUUUAACAUCUACCUAUGAACUGAUGCCCUCAGUUGAUACCUUGGCCAAAUCUGGGAUGGUCUUGUUGAGGUAUUUUGGAGACAGGUAAAUCCAGUACCUCUAACACAAUGAAAAGGGAAAACGAUUUCGGCCUAUAAGGAAGUGCGAACUUGAU
rnacentral:lncRNA from 1 species